rnacentral:rRNA from 1 species
UGGGCCUCAAAUAAUGUGUGACUAC